ensembl:snRNA U6 U6 spliceosomal RNA
CUUAGUAUGGUCCCUGCACAAGGGUGACAUGCAAAUUCAUGAAACAUUCCAUAUGUUU